GAUGGAUGCACGAGUUUAAACAGGGAAAAAAAUGAAGGGGACAUUCCUCAUUACAUUUCACAGCGGCGAGAUCCAUCCUUAUUGAUAGGGGUGCAGGUCUUUAUUUUGGAUGGAGAUGAGGUACCGGACAGGCAGUACAUUUUUGUGAAUUUUCACUUGUAAGUUUUGCAGAAAGUUAAACAAAAUGGGUGGGAGUUAAUUUAGGAUGAAAGGACGUUUGAUAGCACCUGACUAUUCGUACUGCAGCUUCAGACACACUAGCAGUGCCAAGGAUUUUAUUCGGAUUUGGGCAACGAUGUUCAGUACCUCAAAGGAGUCAAGUUAAUUCACUUCUGCUGGCAGUGCCUUGCAGAAGAAAAUCUCAGUGCUAACAGGGAGAAAGCAUCGACGUUAACAAGGUUGACCCGAACAUGGACUAUGAAAGCCUGUAAGGUUUAGUACAACUUGACUACUUUCCAGUUAGGUUCAGUUCUGCUGUGUGAUUCUCCACCUACACAUUAGAGAAGUCUUAUUUCCUUCCGUAAAAUGCUCUGUUUUUUGCCUUGUUGAAGCAACAAGAGAGUUCUCCUGCCAACCUUGAAGCCGUCAAAGCUUAUUCAAAAGCCUGCAUGAAAUAAAAUGGAGUACUACUGUGAUGCAUGUGCACGUGUACCUACCUACAGAGUACCAGAGGUAAAGCAUCUGAUCUGCCGAGCUGUGUGUGUUAACUAAAUAACCUUGCGAGUCCAGACUAUCAGCAUCCCUUCAUCAAUUGAAUAGAAAUAGCGACAUUUUUGUUGCCUAGACGGUUGCUUCAGUCUUACUGUUGUAUGACUUUGUAAGGUCUUGUGUGAAUAAUUAAUAAAGUGGUUGCAUGCAUCGUCCAGAUGCAGAGUCCAGGGUCCUCCUCCAAUUCUAAAAAAUAAUAACCUUGCGAGUUGCGACAGCAGGUUGGUCGCAGGACUGAACUGCUGCUAACCAUUGUACGCACUUGCCCGUAUAGAUACCCACCUCCUGAUAUUGGUUCAUAUAUGCAGAGCAACUGAAACCUUGACACCUCCUGAUAUCAAGUGCUGAUACAGGGAUCGAUGCAUCUCAACGAGAUUGUUAGUGGGAGAUAUCUCUGCCCUUCUCCAGAUGGUGGAAGGCAGCGGAGUAGAAGUUCCAAUCUUGUCAGUCAGGACAGCGGUAGCACAUCGAGUCGUGACAGAAAGUGAAGCCGAAGAUUAUAUAAUUAAAAACUUCUUUUGAACAUGAAUUCACUAAUAUAACUUUUGCUCCCGCCACAGUUGGUCUCGUUGGUUAAAUUUAUGGUCAAAGUUGAAGCACGGGAAUAGAGGAAGCACUAUAUUUUGAAACGGAGGAAGUACUUUAGAUGUUAAAUACUACUUGAGGUUCACAAACAAAAAAGAAAUGCACAUGGCAGAUGCCGGUCGGAGUAUUGUCGAGUGAAAGAGACAGGGAGAGAUGAUGAUCAUACGAGUACUUGACUGUAUUGCCCGGAGUUGAAAAAUGUUAAAAGCGAUGGAAAGCACCAAGUAUCUUUGGUUUACAAGUUGUAAAAGCAUCUACAACUGGGACCCAAACCCACCUCGAACGUCCGGGUCAAUGACCUGGUCACUAACCGGUUAAAAAACGCUGACCCACCUGGGUGCCUUAAAACGGCCUCAAACGUCCAG